CUUGACAUCCAGCGAACUUUCCAGAGAUGGAUUGGUGCCUUCGGGAACGCUGAGACAGGUGCUGCAUGGCUGUCGUCAGCUCGUGUUGUGAAAUGUUGGGUUAAGUCCCGCAACGAGCGCAACCCUUAUCCUUUGUUGCCAGCGAUUCGGUCGGGAACUCAAAGGAGACUGCCGGUGAUAAACCGGAGGAAGGUGGGGAUGACGUCAAGUCAUCAUGGCCCUUACGAGUAGGGCUACACACGUGCUACAAUGGCGCAUACAAAGAGAAGCGACCUCGCGAGAGCAAGCGGACCUCAUAAAGUGCGUCGUAGUCCGGAUCGGAGUCUGCAACUCGACUCCGUGAAGUCGGAAUCGCUAGUAAUCGUGGAUCAGAAUGCCACGGUGAAUACGUUCCCGGGCCUUGUACACACCGCCCGUCACACCAUGGGAGUGGGUUGCAAAAGAAGUAGGUAGCUUAACCUUCGGGAGGGCGCUUACCACUUUGUGAUUCAUGACUGGGGUGAAGUCGUAACAAGGUAGGCGUAGCGAG
rnacentral:rRNA from 1 species